AAAGGGUGCGUAGGCGGAUUCUUAAGUCAGGGGUGAAAUCCCGAGGCUCAACCUCGGAACUGCCUUUGAUACUGGGGAUCUUGAGUCCGGAAGAGGUGAGUGGAACUGCGAGUGUAGAGGUGAAAUUCGUAGAUAUUCGCAAGAACACCGGUGGCGAAGGCGGCUCACUGGUCCGGAACUGACGCUGAGGCACGACAGCGUGGGGAGCAAACAGGAUUAGAUACCCUAGU
rnacentral:rRNA from 1 species